GAAGAUUCAUCGAGUUACAGUAGGCUACUUUAGUUUAGGGCUUGUGGAUUCAUCCACGUUAGCCGACUUCGGUUUAGGGCUUGUGGAUUCAUCGAGUUACGAUAGGCGACUUCGGUUUAGGGCUUGAGGAUUCAUCAACAAUGAGUAAUUGUGGCACAAGCACUAUUGGUAAAUUGGAAUGCCAAGGUUCGGCACAGUGAAAUGAAAAAGUAGGAAACUAUUAGACGACUGGGGCAUCCAGUUGGAAGGGGAACUAAAGAGAACGGAGAAAAGAAACCGAGAAUGUGCAGUUAACUUUCAACAUGAGUGUUUGAUGGUGGUUUUACGCUUCCCUUCUGAGUACUGAUAUCACAUUCAGUGGGACUUGAUUAUGAAUACAAAGCCAUCAAUCGUUCAAACUUCAAACGAGAGUAACACAGUCCUGGUAACAAACUAAAAUUGUUCAAAAAUCUCAUCAGUGUAAAAUAUUUACCCAGGCUCCAUAGAUGCUCUAAAUGAAUAUUGGCAAAAAUAGCAUGGAAACACUUCACCAGUAAGCUAUACUACAUUAAUAAGCAUUUAGACCUAUAUUCUAAUUAUAAAUCAUAAAGCACAAAGUACUACCAUUUUAUGCUUAGAAUCUGGGAUUUGCAGGGUAUAGAUAUCGAU